GGUUCCAUAGUGUAGCAGUUAGCAUGUCUGCUUUGCAUGCAGAAGGUCCUGGGUUUGAACCCCAGUGGAGCCA
rfam:Pteropus alecto contig108600, whole genome shotgun sequence.